rnacentral:rRNA from 1 species
CUACGGGCGGCAGCAGUGAGGAAUAUUGCACAAUGGGGGGAACCCUGAUGCAGCAACGCCGCGUGGAGGAUGACGCAUUUCGGUGUGUAAACUCCUUUUAUAUGUCAAGAAAAUGACGGUAGCAUAUGAAUAAGCACCGGCUAACUCCGUGCCAGCAGCCGCGGUAAUACGGAGGGUGCAGGCGUUACUCGGAAUCACUGGGCGUAAAGGACGCGUAGGCGGGUUGGAAAGUCAGGUGUGAAAUCCUACAGCUUAACUGUAGAACUGCACUUGAAACUUCUAAUCUAGAGGAUGGGAGGGGGAGAUGGAAUUAGUGGUGUAGGGGUAAAAUCCGUAGAUAUCACUAGGAAUACCUAAAGCGAAGGCGAUCUCCUGGAACAUUACUGACGCUAAGGCGUGAAAGCGUGGGGAGCAAACAGGAUUAGAUACCCGUGUAGUC